AUGGAUGAAUCAAUUGAUGUGAAUGAUGCUCUCACACAUGCUUCCAACCCAGAUAACAACAUAAGGUCAAUAGGAGAAGACAUGCUAAAGCGGCUUCAAAAUCGUGAUCUUCCCAACUUUCUGCUAUAUUUAUCAUCUGAGCUCGUGAGGGAGGGGAUUCCAGAAGAGUCUAGGGUACUUGCUGCCAUCACCCUUAAGAACUCCUUGGACUCGAAGGAUCCUGCACUCAAGGAUGCACACAAGGAUCUACUUUGUCUAAAAUGGCUCAGCGUGGAUAAAUCUAUCCGAUUAGAGAUUAAGAAUAACUUGCUCAUGACACUAGAAAUUGAUUCAAGGCCAUCUCAUUCAAGGCACCCCUCGUCAAAAGUUAUUGCAGAAGUUAUUGCGAGGGUUGCAUGCAUGGAGAUACCCCGGAAUCAGUGGCUGGACCUUGUUGGUAAAUUAAUGGACAACAUGGCAAGUUUAUCUUCUUCCCUAAAGCAAGCAACUCUAGAGGUGCUCCAGUAUAUCUUCAAGGCAAAGAUCCCUAACGUUGUCAAGCGGGAUCAAGUGGAUGAUGUUAUUGCUAGUGUCAUCAGUGCACUGAACGACGAGGUGCUAGGUUCUCAAGUCCUUCUGGCAGCCCUUAAAGCUUUACACAACAUUUUUGAGUUUACUAAGUUUGAAGACCAUGAUUGGAGAGGUGCUAUAGAGGCAGUUUUUGCUGUGGCUUAUAGAACAUCUGGAACAGAGAUCCCAGAGGCAGCAUUUGAGUACCUCGUUGCAAUUGCAUCCACUUGUCAUACCAAAUUCGAACCCGACAUAGAAGUGCUGAUGUGUAUUACAACGCAAGCUUUGAAUGGAGAUGUGGAAUCACUUAAAGUCCAAUGUAUCAAGUUGUGGAUCACUAUUUGCGAAAAAGAGAUUGAUUGGCUAGAAGAAGAAGAAGAAGAAGAAGAAGAAAAAGAAGAUAAAGAUGAAUCUUACUUUACUGGUCCUCUCUAUUCAUUGGUCCCACUUCUCCUACAAACUUACUUAAAUGAAGAAGAGAGGGAUUUAGAACAAAUGGACAUUUGGAUCAUUUCCAUGACAUGCCUAGGCCUUGCAGCUAGAAUUCUGAAGGGUGGAGUUGUCCCCACUGUGAUGCAUUUUGUUGAGGAGAACAUGAAUGGGCCACAUAAGAUAGCUGCAUUGUCUCCAUUAGGUUUUAUCCUCGAAGGUCCCUCAGUCAAGCAGCUUGCUCCUCUAGUUGAUUUAUUGCUUGCCUUGAUGGAAUAUCAGGCGGAAGGUGUAAGAGGCAGGGCUGCAUGGACUCUUGGGCGGCUGUUUGAGCUUGUGGGUGCACAUAGAAUCAUGAGAAAUGAGGUGGUGUCCCUGGAUAGGAUCAUGGAGCUCUUGAUAGAGAGGAGCUGUGAUGUCCCUCAAGUGUCCAUUGAAGUGCAUGGAGCUCUAUAUUUUCUUGCACGAGGUUAUGGAGAAGAUGCAAAGUCAAGGUCAAAGUCAAAUUAA
rnacentral:rRNA from 1 species